rnacentral:rRNA from 1 species
GACGAACGCUGGCGGCGUGGAUUAGGCAUGCAAGUCGAACGGUAUCAUCCUUUCGGGGGUGAGAGAGUGGCGAACUGGUGAGUAACACGUAGGUUAUCUACCCUCAAGACGGGGACAACCCAGGGAAACUUGGGCUAAUACCGGAUGUGAGCAACUUUUAGUUGUUUGAAAGGUGGCGUAAGCUGUCGCUUGGGGAUGAGCCUGCGUCCUAUUAGUUAGUUGGUGAGGUAACGGCUCACCUAGGCAAUGAUAGGUAGGCGGCCUUAACGGGUGGUCGCCCACACUGGGAUUGAGAUACGGCCCAGACUCCUACGGGAGGCAGCAGUCGAGAAUAGUCUACAAUGGUCGGAAGACUGAUAGUGCGACGCCGCGUGAACGAUGAAUCCCUUCGGGGUGUAAAGUUCUUUUAUAUGUGAGCAGUGCUUCUUAUAUUAACAGUAUGGGGAGAGAGAUAUUAGCAUAUGAAUAAGCAACGGCUAACUCCGUGCCAGCAAGCCGCGGUAAAACGU